AUUGAACGCUGGCGGCAUGCCUUACACAUGCAAGUCGAACGGCAGCACGGGAGCAAUCCUGGUGGCGAGUGGCGAACGGGUGAGUAAUAUAUCGGAACGUGCCCAGUCGUGGGGGAUGACGCAGCGAAAGCUGUUCUAAUACCGCAUACGAUCUACGGAUGAAAGCGGGGGAUCGCAAGACCUCGCGCGAUUGGAGCGGCCGAUAUCAGAUUAGCUAGUUGGUGGGGUAAAGGCCCACCAAGGCGACGAUCUGUAGCUGGUCUGAGAGGACGACCAGCCACACUGGAACUGAGACACGGUCCAGACUCCUACGGGAGGCAGCAGUGGGGAAUUUUGGACAAUGGGCGCAAGCCUGAUCCAGCAAUGCCGCGUGCAGGAUGAAGGCCUUCGGGUUGUAAACUGCUUUUGUACGGAACGAAACGGCCCUUUCUAAUACAGGGGGCUAAUGACGGUACCGUAAGAAUAAGCACCGGCUAACUACGUGCCAGCAGCCGCGGUAAGAC
rnacentral:rRNA from 1 species